rnacentral:lncRNA from 10 species
GGCGGAAGUGACGCAGUGUUGUCGUCUCGUAGGCUUGAAAGAUUGGAUACAAUCAGUGAUGCACAUUUACCAGACAGAGGAUGUGCAGCGUUUACUGUUGAUUUCUCUCUUUUCCUCCCUAUCACCUCAGUUUAGUUCCAGGAUCCACACUCCUCCACCAUAGUCAGGAGAUUCAGGGAAAGUUGGCAGGGUUCAGCUUUCAAGUUGACCCUUGAUGAACCAUGGUCAAUCCUGUUAAGAGGCGUGAAAGCCAAUCCCAGCCAAUGAGACUGGGGAGAAAUCACUGAAGAACUUGUGGAAAACAGACCCUCUGGAUAAAAGACACGUGUGGGGAAAAAGGGGCUUUUUAAUGUUAUUCUGGAUGUUUCCCAAAAGUACUGCUGCUGCCUUGCCUCCCUGACAGACACUGGCCUUAGGAUGACAUGCGGCAGGAAGGAAGGACGGAUCUGGGGUUUUUCAAGACUCACUGAGAUGCACAAGGAACCAACCCUCAAGUAGCCAACUCGUUCCUGUUUGCAUGUGUCGACUGAAAAGAAUCAAAAUAAACAAAAUAUAACUAUUUCUAAGAGGUUACAACUUGCAGGCAGGAAGCAGGCCUCUACCUGAGGCCAUAAAGCAUACUUUGAAGGAGAAAAGGUAGGUAUUUAUGCUAGGUGGAGAGGUAGGAUAUACGUAUUCUGUAGCAUACAGGAGAAGCCUAUGAAAAUUCAUGGAGGAAACUCGUUAGAGACACGCACUGGGCUUACAUAUGAAGAAUAUCCAAAAGCGGAUGACCUGUGUUCACUCUGGGGUGAAGAUUUAACAUUUAAAUGUAUUAUAAUUAGGCUGUAAAUGCAAAAAGGUGAAACAUAGGGCACAAGUUCACGAUCUGUGCAAUCUCCAGAGACCAGUCUGAUCUAGCCUGCAGCUGGCAGUCAUCUGUCAAGAAGGGGCUCUUUGUAGCCCAGAGUAGCUGUCAGGUUGGAACCAUAAAACCAAAAGGAGGGCAUCGGCGGUUAGGUGAAGAAAAGAAGUCUUUUGGCCUUUUUUCCUCUUCAAGUCAGCUUUUGAUAAGAUCUAGUAAUAAUAAGGGGAUGGGUGUGGCUGCAGGUGGGACAUGUCGGUUCUCUGUCCUGUCACAGCUAAGAACUAAGAACUUUAGAGUCUUUCAGCCAUAGAGGGUCCUGUCAUCCAUUGAAGGGAUCAGUCCAUUGGGAUUUUGCCAGUUUUAGCAUUGAUGCUGUGUCCUGGGAAACCCCUGAAUACUUAUCAUAGCAGAAGUUCAGCCACUGUAGCCCUACCUCAGGACCGCUUUUAUGGGAAAGAAUAAUUCCUUUAACUGCUUGAGCCAUUUGAGUUGUGGCUGCUUUUGGUACUUGUAAUAAAUUGAAAGCAUCUUGAAUGUUCUGGGACAGUAAAAGAAUGUGCCUUUGUUUCUGACAGCAAUUAUAAAAUCAAUUAUAUGUUUAUAUUCUAAAAAAUGUUUUGAGUAAUGCUGACAUCAUUGGAAAAGUGCAUCACUUAGAAAAUGUAUCUGUGUGUCAAUUUUGUUUGUUCAAAAUCAGUUUCAUUAAUUUGUGGGAAGAUACACCUUGUACAUUUUACCUAAUUAAAAAAAAUAUUGCCAGUUGAGUAUACUUGUGAUAUAUUCAAAGAUAAAUAAACUUUUUCAAUUUUAGAUAUU